AAGGUCUUGAAUUUAGUUGAGGUGGGCGGAAUACGUUAUGUAGCGGUGAAAUGCAUAGAUAUAACGUAGAACACCGAUUGCGAAGGCAGCUCACUAAGCUAACAUUGACGCUGAUGGACGAAAGCGUGGGGAGCGAACAGGAUUAGAUACCCUGGUAGUCCACGCCGUAAACGAUGAUUACUCGUUGUGCACGAUACACUGUGCGUGACUGAGCGAAAGCAUUAAGUAAUCCACCUGGGGAGUACGUUCGCAAGAAUGAAACUCAAAGGAAUUGACGGGGGCCCGCACAAGCGGAGGAACAUGUGGUUUAAUUCGAUGAUACGCGAGGAACCUUACCUGGACUUAAAUGUAGAUUGACCGGUUUAGAAAUAGAUCUUCCCUUCGGGGCAAUUUACAAGGUGCUGCAUGGUUGUCGUCAGCUCGUGCCGUGAGGUGUCGGGUUAAGUCCCAUAACGAGCGCAACCCCUAUCGUUAGUUGCUAGCAGGUAAUGCUGAGGACUCUAGCGAGACUGCCACCGUAAGGUGAGAGGAAGGUGGGGAUGACGUCAAAUCAGCACGGCCCUUACGUCCAGGGCUACACACGUGUUACAAUGGCCAGUACAAAGGGCAGCUACCUGGUGACAGGAUGCUAAUCUCUAAAGCUGGUCUCAGUUCGGAUCGGAGUCUGCAACUCGACUCCGUGAAGUUGGAUUCGCUAGUAAUCGUAGAUCAGCAAUGCUACGGUGAAUACGUUCCCGGGCCUUGUACACACCGCCCGUCAAGCCAUGGAAGCCGAGGGGACCUGAAGUUCGUAACCGCAAGGAGCGACCUAGGGUAAAAUUGGUAACUAGGGCUAA
rnacentral:rRNA from 1 species